UCUAAUUAUCGAGUGGCACAGGAAACCUUGCUAAAUAAUCUUAAAUUUAACAAUUCCACAAACAUAUAAAUAGAGCUUAAAUUUAUUUUCACCACAGAGAAUUCAUUCGUAGAAGAAGACGUUCUGUAAUAAGACGCAUCAACCAUGAACCAAAAGAUCGUGUACGCCGUGGCAUUUAUAAUUUAUUGCAUUAUUGCUGAAGUGUACAGUGGUGGUAGUGGUGACAACGAGGACAGUGUUCAACUCAAUGAUGCAGCUUUACCAGUCUCGUGGCUUGAGACUUUACUAGAAAAGAUCGAUUCUCAGGAUGAUACAUCACAUAUUCAAAAAAUUAAGGAAAAACUCGCAGUCCUCUCGGUAGUGGACAAGAUCAAGGAAUGGUUAUCAUCAGCAGGAUAAUUCCCAAAUUUAUCUAAUGGAUAAAUGAUUAAAUUGAAUAAAUGAUUA